rnacentral:rRNA from 1 species
AUUGAACGCUGGCGGCAUGCUUUACACAUGCAAGUCGAACGGUAACAGGCCGCAAGGUGCUGACGAGUGGCGAACGGGUGAGUAAUGCAUCGGAACGUGCCCAGUCGUGGGGGAUAACUACUCGAAAGAGUAGCUAAUACCGCAUACGAUCUAUGGAUGAAAGCGGGGGACCGUAAGGCCUCGCGCGAUUGGAGCGGCCGAUGUCAGAUUAGGUGGUUGGUGGGGUAAAGGCUAACCAAGCCAACGAUUUGUAGCUGGUCUGGGAGGACGACCAGCCACAUGGGGGCUGAACGACGGCCCGGGCUCUGAGGGACGGCGGAGGGGGGAAUUUUAGGCAGAUGGGGGAAAUCUUGAACAAUGAAUGCGGGUUGGAGGAAGAAGCCCUGCGGGUGGUAAAUUGUUUUUUGCGGGAAGAAACGGGUUCGGGUGAUACCCGGGGCUAAUGACGGUAACGGAAAAAAAAGCACCGGCUAACUACGUG